CUAAUACCCUUUACGACUUUACCCAUUUCCCCUAAAAUGCCUAAAUCUUAAACUCUAAUUUCCCCUUCCCAAAUUACAAUUGCAAUUUGCAAACUCAGAAGAGUACCUCGAGACGAGAGAUCAGAGUCGGUCGUCUCCUUCGCAACUCCUCCACUCCAGUAGUCCAGUCGGCAGUCUCCAGACUCCAGAUGGCGGAAAUCUCAGAAUUCAAAUAUGCUUAUUUCAUUUCCGGAGUAGAAAUAAUUCGGAUUAAAAUCCCUAUGACAUCUAAUAGUUUUAAACACGAAGUCGAGCUUGUGUUCUCUAAUCCAUCUCAACCUCUUCCAGGAGGUAUGGGACUCUUUAGCCACAAUCACAUUGUAUAUAUGGUUGGGGGCUACUUUUUCAAAAGGGAGGUGUGCGUGGACAGACCUAAGGUUGUGGAUGUGGAUGGACUUCAAUAUUUCGAUCUUGUUUAUAUGUUUGAUCCAACCAAGUUUGAAGAAAUUCCGCUUGAAAAUAUUAAACCACUUCAGAACUUAAACUGUGAUUGCAUGAUGUAUCCUAACGUCAUUCGAGCUGAGGAUCGGAUUUACCUGUUGUCACUGCCUGAUUAUUUUGGUCAUAAUUUUGACAUGAUCGGACACGCCUUCCAUUUUCAAUACUUUGAUCCAAACAAGAAUUUGUUUAAAACCCUGCCACCCCCACCCGUCCUACGUGAUUAUAAUUUAAUGAACAUGGUUAGUCUUGAUGCACGGUGUCAUUUUUUCCUUAGAGGUUAUAUAUAUGUGUUUAUUACAGACGCCAAGACUUGUUUUCAAACAUUUAAGUUCAACACCAUAAAUUCAGAUUCAGAAUGGGAGGAUUGCAAGUCCAUGGUGGACAAAUUUAAAGAGAAAAAUAUUCCUUUUCCCUUCUUACAUGUUGGCGAUAUGGGGAUUUCGAAUGAAUUGGUUGAUAACACUUGGAUUCUAGUCGCCCUUAAUGGUGGUGCUCUGCCCAUUGCAUAUAAUGUUCACCUUAGUGACAAGGGUGAUAUUGAUCCUAUAUCUCAUAGGGUUCUGGCUGAACUUCAUACUUCGGAUGUUCAUAAGUAUGGCAGAGAAAAUGAUUGGAAACAAUUAGCUGAUAUGGGAGGUGGUAGGUUUUGUGUGAUGUGCUGUGCUUUAGAUGAAGAUUUUUUGAUAUACGGCUUCGAAAUUGAUUUUGAACUUGAAUGGACCAUUCAAAGUGAUAAAACUAAAGUGAGUUCGUCAUCUAUUAUUUUCAAAAUGGAAUUCAAUCAUAAUUACCCCAUCCCUUUGAAGGGUCAACUUACCGGUUUCUGUAUAGCCUCUGCUCCUCCUCCUCUUGCAUCUCCCGACAAUGAAGACCAAGACAAGAAUGAAGACCAAGACAAGAAUGAUAGGAAGAGUAAGAGAAAAAGGGGGAGUAGAUUGUUUGUAUAUUUAUUUCCAUCUCUGCUCCUCCUCCUCCUCCGGCGUCGCUAAAAGGUGAUUUUAUUAAAUAAGCCAGGUGAAAGUGAAGCCCCUAAAAUCGUACAUGAGUGGAAGUUUAGCACCGACAGGUAAAGAAAAAAAGGAGCCAAAAAUAAAUGGUGAGCUACUGCAAAGGCCUUCCGAAGCAAGAGCGUCUGCAACCUGGUUAGCCUCUCGGUAGAUAUGCGUUAAGGCACGGGAGCUGGUUCAGGGGAAUCAUUACUUUAGAAAAUUGAACUCGGAUUCUCUCGAAAUUCUUUCCACCAAAAGGGCUCACUUGCCACUCGAGUUACCCGAUUGGAUUAUAUAAUUUGUUAACUGAUUAAAAAAAUGUCAAUCUUAAUAUGACAAGGUCUUUUUUGGCCAUUUACA